AGAGUUUGAUCCUGGCUCAGGACGAACGCUGGCGGCGUGCCUAAUACAUGCAAGUCGAACGCACUGACGGAGAACUUGUUCUCUUGACGUGAGUGGCGCACGGGUGAGUAACACGUGGGAAACCUACCCUUCAGCGGGGGAUAACCAUCGGAAACGAUGACUAAUACCGCAUAGACGACAGAACCGCCUGGUUCAAUCGGGAAAGACGGCUUCGGCUGUCACUGAAGGAUGGUCCCGCGCUGCAUUAGCUAGUUGGUAAGGUAACGGCUUACCAAGGCGAUGAUGCAUAGCCGACCUGAGAGGGUGAUCGGCCACAUUGGGACUGAGACACGGCCCAAACUCCUACGGGAGGCAGCAGUAGGGAAUCUUCCGCAAUGGACGCAAGUCUGACGGAGCAACGCCGCGUGUGUGAAGAAGGUUUUCGGAUCGUAAAGCACUGUUAUUAGAGAAGAACAGCCGAUAGAGUAACUGUUAUCGGUUUGACGGUAUCUAACCAGAAAGUGACGGCUAACUACGUGCCAGCAGCCGCGGUAAUACGUAGGUCACAAGCGUUGUCCGGAUUUAUUGGGCGUAAAGGGAGCGCAGGCGGUUUGUUAAGUCUGAUGUGAAAGCCCACGGCUCAACCGUGGAACGGCAUUGGAAACUGGCAAACUUGAGUAUAGAAGAGGAAAGUGGAAUUCCAUGUGUAGCGGUGAAAUGCGUAGAUAUAUGGAGGAACACCAGUGGCGAAGGCGACUUUCUGGUCUAUAACUGACGCUGAGGCUCGAAAGCGUGGGGAGCGAACAGGAUUAGAUACCCUGGUAGUCCACGCCGUAACGAUGAGUGUUAAGUGUUGGGGGGCUUCCACCCCUCAGUGCUGGCGUUAACGCAAUAACACUCCGCCUGGGGA
rnacentral:rRNA from 1 species